rnacentral:rRNA from 1 species
AGGAAUAUUGGUCAAUGGACGAGAGUCUGAACCAGCCAAGUAGCGUGAAGGAUGACUGCCCUAUGGGUUGUAAACUUCUUUUAUACGGGAAUAAAGUGAGGCACGUGUGCCUUUUUGUAUGUACCGUAUGAAUAAGGAUCGGCUAACUCCGUGCCAGCAGCCGCGGUAAUACGGAGGAUCCGAGCGUUAUCCGGAUUUAUUGGGUUUAAAGGGAGCGUAGGCGGACGCUUAAGUCAGUUGUGAAAGUUUGCGGCUCAACCGUAAAAUUGCAAUUGAUACUGGGUGUCUUGAGUACAGUAGAGGCAGGCGGAAUUCGUGGUGUAGCGGUGAAAUGCUUAGAUAUCACGAAGAACUCCGAUUGCGAAGGCAGCUUGCUGGACUGUAACUGACGCUGAUGCUCGAAAGUGUGGGUAUCAAACAGGAUUAGAUACCCUGGUAGUCCACACAGUAAACGAUGAAUACUCGCUGUUUGCGAUAUACAGUAAGCGGCCAAGCGAAAACGUUAAGUAUUCCACCUGGGGAGUACGCCGGCAACGGUGAAACUCAAAGGAAUUGACGGGGGCCCGCACAAGCGGAGGAACAUGUGGUUUAAUUCGAUGAUACGCGAGGAACCUUACCCGGGCUUGAAUUGCAACUGAAUGAUGUGGAGACAUGUCAGCCGCAAGGCAGUUGUGAAGGUGCUGCAUGAUUGUCGUCAGCUCGUGCCGUGAGGUGUCGGCUUAAGUGCCAUAACGAGCGCAACCCUUAUCGAUAGUUACCAUCAGGUUAUGCUGGGGACUCUGUCGAGACUGCCGUCGUAAGAUGUGAGGAAGGUGGGGAUGACGUCAAAUCAGCACGGCCCUUACGUCCGGGGCUACACACGUGUUACAAUGGGGGGUACAGAAGGCAGCUACACGGCGACGUGAUGCUAAUCCCUAAAGCCUCUCUCAGUUCGGAUUGGAGUCUGCAACCCGACUCCAUGAAGCUGGAUUCGCUAGUAAUCGCGCAUCAGCCACGGCGCGGUGAAUACGUUCCCG